rnacentral:lncRNA from 12 species
AUGGGCGGGGCCAGGGCGGGGGCGGGCCGCGGCGCGGGAUUGGCCCAGCGUAGGUUGGAGGCGGGGCCUACGCGCCGAGGGCGGGCCUUGCGUAAAGCGCGCCGCGGGAUAGGCCGCGGUGGAGUGGGCGGGGCCGCGGCGGGCCGCGCGGGAGGGGCGGGGCUGCUCGGGGUUUGGCGCGGGGCGGAGCCGACGCGAGGGUUGAGACUGGUUCCCCGCCCUCGUCCAAGCCGCCGGCGCCGGAGGAGGAUUCGCGCUCUCCGAGAUGCGAGGUCGGAGGAGCUCCUCGUCGUCACGGAAGUGGGCGUGCCGGUCGGCCGCGUUUCCGGGGCAGCGACGUCACUUCCGGCCGGCGGAGGGCGGCCCCUGCGGGGUGUGGGCCUCGUGUUGCGGGGCUCGGGACGUUCUCUGCGGGCGCGUGGCCGCGCUUGGAGCCGCUUCGGGGCCUCCGAGGACGCACGCGGGGCCGAGUGGGUGUCGGGGGGCCGGCGCGCCUCAUGCCCACCUGCCGGCAGCGCCCGGGCCGGGGUCACGGCCGGGGUCACGACCGAGGUCACGGCGGGGGUCGCGGAGGGGGGGGGGGCUGAGGCUGGCGACUCGGAGGGAGGGAGGGAGGGAGCGUCCGCACCGCGGGGUCAGCGCGGCCCCGGCCCGGGGCUCGAAUGCACCGAGCGGGUCAGCGCGGCCCUGUCCAGAGGGCUGCGAAGGACCCUGCGGCCCUACGGGGCGGCCGCCGACUCCGGGGAGCGCGGCAUUUGCAGGAACCCGCGGGAAGCCGGAGGGCAUGAUGCUACGUGGGGUAAGCCAGGAGGACAAAUGCUGGACUGUGCCGCUCACCCGCGGCACCUCACGUCGUCGGGCUCCCAGAAACGGCAGAGGGGGUGGCGGUGGGAUGGGGCGGGAAUCGGGGAGGUGCUGGCCGGAGGCCACCUGUGCAGCUUGGAAGGUACUGAGAGCAGAUGUCAGCUGCUGUCCCUGCAGCCGCGGCAACAGGAAGAUGGGCUGCCACGUGUUAGCCGAGCUCGGGUGGUAAAGCUCCUACUGUGUGCGCAUCGGCUGGUCGCCCCGAACACCCCGCGCCCACACGGUGGUACGUGCGCCAGUAGGGCCUGUGCUAGACGUCAGUUCUGUCUCAACGCUAGGAAGGAAGCUUCUCUCCAGCUACAGUCCCGACAGGAGGUGCAGGGAGGUGCAGGGAAUCGGGUGAUCCAGGAAUCCCCAGGGCGGACACGGUUCAGCCUGUAA